UCCGAAUUGGUGUAGUGGCCAACAUUUGACGCUCUCAUCCUAUCGAGCACCGUCAAGCCCGGGGUUCGAUUCCCCGAUUCGGAG